UGACAUAAUUUACUACAUUUUUAACCUGUAAUAGCGAAUUCAACAAACUCCAAUCUGUUACCGUUUUUGUUUCUCUUUUUUUCGGUUGGUUUCGACGAUAUUGGCCAGGCUUUGCGCGAAGGAAUGUCAAACAUUUUCACCACGGCGAGCUGUUCGAGCGCAUUGCGCAUGUAGUUGCGCGAGAGCGCCAAACGGCUGCAAAGCGACUAUUGGAACCCGCGCGUGUGUGUGUGUGAGUGAGUGAGAGAAAAAAUGAAACGGCGAUAGAGAAAGAUCGACGGUACGGUGAGAGGAGCACCAACUGAACCAAUCUACAAGCGACUCACAUAACUUAAAAUUCGUGAUUCGCGGCAACUAAAACAUUUGAUGAACGAAAGUUUUAGCUCCAAAAUCUACUAAUUCGUAGCUUGGAUGAUUGUUUUGGCUUGAAGGUAAUGUAAUGAACCGUUGAAUGAUACUUAUUGCACAUUGUCAUAAAUGCAAAUGUCAUAAAUUUACACAAUGAAUGCCUGUAUGCCCCUCCACGAACGGCUCCCUUCAGUUCUUUUCCUCCCGUUAAGAUUUUCUAGUUCCAAUUAAAAUUUACCAAAACCCUGCAAAACUUCGGUAACAGUGUGAAGCAAAAAAAACCCUUUUCAUUUGCAUGUUUUUUUGAGUGUGUUCUGCCUCUGGUUCGUGCAACUGUAUUGGGGCAGCCUUUACACACGCGAAGGAAUGUCAAACAUUUUCACCACCACGCUCUCUGAGCCGUUCGAGUUGUGCGCGUGAGAGAUAGAGUGAGAGAGAGAGAGAGAGCACACUCAUGCCAGCGCGCGCGUGAGACGAAACGAGCGAGUGAGAAAGAGAGCGCGAAAAAAGAGCGAGAGCGGAACAGCAUCGGCGAGAGCGCGCUGAACAGCUGAACCAAUACAAAAGCUGACGGGCCCGCAGCGCCACAAAAAAGAGGGAAAGAAACACACACACACAAACGCACGUCCUCAACGCACGUCAGGCGAGGAGCAGCUCCGAAGAAUACCGAAGAAACGCCAAACAUUCUCAGCAAGACAGGUAUCGAGUGAAGUCACAGUUUCCGCGUGCAGAGCGCGCUUUGGUGGUGUGGUUCGGUGUGUGGCCGUGGUUCGAACCGUGGCCGUCCCUUCCCGCAGCGGCCAGCGGAAUCAGUGUGCUGUGUGGCGCAAGAUCGGAUCGUUCCCUGGAAACUAAGUAUGGGUGUCGCCAGCAGAAAACGGAAGACGAGCAAAAAUUAUGCACCCAUUCAACAACUUGCAGCAGCUUCCAGGAGAGUGCCAGUAGUGCAAUGAAAAAUCCCGGAGCAACCAUCCUCACUGGGUGUGCUGGUGUGGGUGCGUGCACGUACGUGACAGCCAGCUGGCGCUAUACAGGAUCGCCAACGACGUCAGGGGGUGACUGCAGUCAAUAACAAUCGUGCUGGUUGUGAAGAAACCGGUACAUUAUCAAGCAACGCCCCGCCGCUACAUCCUCCAUAACGCUGAGAUGUGAAUUCUCUCCUCGAAUGUGGGGUGGCAAAACGCAGAACGACGGCACCACUACCAUCCAAUCAUCCCGACCCCCCGCUCAAUAGCUUGUUGGCAAUCGCGCGGUACAAAAAAAAGGGCAAGAGAACCUGAGGACGGGGAGCGCACCCCUUAUCCCGGUACGGCGGUUCCGCGGGUUGCUGCUAUUUCGUGAAGGAGAACACCACCACCGGGCCACCACGAGAUUUAAAUGAGUUUUCGUCGUCCCACUGCUCCCCGUUGUGGAACCGAUGAUAAUCAUCAAACCUUUAUCAGGGCGCCGUUUUGACUAUACUUCCGGUUGGUCUUUUUUUUUUGGCGGCGUCAUGUACAACGUGUGUCACAAAUGUUCUGGCGGCACAGGAACAACCUCUACCAACCGUGUGCCAUGAAUGUGGAUCAUUGAGGCGCGCGCACACACACACUGCUAAAUCUAAUCAGAAACACCAUCCCCCUGCCGCCCACCCCCUGGUCACCCUCUCGCGAUCGCCUCGAUCAUCAUCAAGUCCAUUGAGAGCUGCUGCUGGUGUUGCUGCUGCUGUUGCCGUGUGCCUCUGCUCUCCACCUAACGAUCGCAGUAGGUCCAGUCGGGGAAUGGACAGGCGAAUUUCUUCAUCAAUUAGCCUGUCAGCUACACCAACGGCGCGCGCGGGAGGAGCGCUACGUCGUCGGCGGGUGAUGAAGAAGGGGGGAGGAGGAGAGAGUGCACAUUCCAUUCGCGCAGCAGCAGAGCUCGGUGGAUGGAUGGAGAGCUGUUGUUCGGAUGAUGGCUUUCCCGACCCCGGAACGCCGCAACCAUGUUGCUGCUGAUGCUGCUGCUGCUUUGCAACCCUUCAUUGUGUGUGUGUUUGUGUGGUUGCCUGUGGCUGCUCAUGCACGUCAAACACAACACACUACCCGCGACUCGAGAUGUGGUGGUAGGCUCGUGUUUAAGGUUUCGUCUCAAUACAACGCGGGGAGCGCUUCCUUUUGCUGGCCAGCCACGAAAUCAAUUCGCCGGCAACAGACACACCGCUCCUGGUAGCAGCAGCAGUUCGUCGACCCGCGCGGGCACGACGUUGCAUUCCAUUGGUGGAGCAGAGAGAGAGAGAGAGAGAGAGAGAGAGAGAAUAGGGCGGCUGCGCGCCUGUGUGUCACCACACACAGCUCCCCAGUGAAACGAGUCUCUCUGUUUCUGUUUCGGUGCUUUUUGUGUGUGCGUGCGCCCAAAACGCCGCAGACAAACAGGAGGAGAUAUGGUUAUGGUGGUAGCCAUUGACUUUCUUUGACCGCGAAAGCUCCCAAAGCCUGCGCAGACAUCAAUUCUGGCGAUAAGAGGAAACAGCGCAUGGGAACGGAAGCAGCAGACACACGGGGGAGAGGAGUGGUGGACCCCAAUGGGUUCCCUUUACUCAAGAAUUUCCCCCAAUAUGUCCCGUUUCGACGUGUGUGUGUGUGUGUCGGUGCUAAGAUUGAAGUGUUGAUGGUGUGCUGAUCAUCGUUAAAAGUUGAAGGACCCACCGAUCCUGUUUCGUUAUGUGUUUUGAUCGGGUUGUGAUUUCGUCGUCGGGAUCGGAGUGGGAGGGGUGUGUGUGUGUGUGUGUGUGGAUGAAAUGUAAUCACAGAACCGGUUUUCAUUUUCGAUCUGACUUAUUUUUUUCACAAACAAGUGAGAUCACUUUGAAAGCUGAUUUUGUACAAUUAAUUCAACGAGACCCAAACCACACAAAUCAACCACACCCGCGUCAUGUUGCCAUGCGAAAAUGAAGUGAGAGCGAAUGUAUCAGAAUGUGUGUUGUGUGUGAAAGAAAAAUGUUGGUAAAAUUAUGAAUAUCGAAGACCUAUGUAGCAAUACAUGCUUAAGCAGUAGGUGAGUAUAUGGAUCAUCAUCAUCAGCGCUUUUUUUCUUUUGCAGAUACAAAAAAAAAAAACUUAAAAUUAAAUCCGUAACGAGGAUACUACAAUCGAUUGGGAGGAGUCAAGACGGAUCUUAUCUCGAAGGAUGAUCGUUAUAAGCAGACCAGGAACAGCGGCCAAGUUAAGAGUUGAAGAUGAUCUCCGGAAGAACAUGUGGCACAACGAUCAGCAGGGAACUCGAGGUCCUCAGACACGGACACGCUAUAUAUUAACCUAAUUUCCUACAGGUGCUCCUUCACCACAUCCUUCACGGGUCCUAACGGGUAUCCUUACAGGGUUUAACAGGAGUUCCCAUAGCUGUGGGACAAUUCAUUGAUUCUUUCCUAUAUGAAAAGAGCUUGAUGUAAUGGGAAUUGAACUCUAUAGCACUCUUCUUAAACAAAUCAAAUACGAAUUUCCAAGGAGCCUUCCAAUAAGGGUGCCAUACAGUAGAAUUUCCAUAAUAUGAAGUUUAAUUCCUAUAAGAAAAAGUAAAGGAAGUGUCCCACAACUAUGAGAACCUCCAGAAAACACUGUAUCGGAGAUUCCGUUUUACUUUUUUUUGUGCCACUUGGCCAGUGAAGCAAUUCCAAGAACACGGAGCUACACCAGCUUCAAACAAUCGUGUUUAUUCAUCUCGCUCUUUCUCCCCUUCUCUCUCUCUUUCUCUCCCUCUCUCUCUCUCUCUCUAUCUCUCUCUCUCUCUGUCUGUCUCUGUCUCUCAUACUUCCCUUUGCUCUCAGUAGUAGGCGAUGCUUUUUAGCUCGAACAACGGCGGCCCGGGUGAUGAUGGGUCACUUGGAUGGAAUGCACAAUUACCCUUGCGUUGUCAAUCAAUCAAUGAAGUCAUACUGCGCUGAACCUGAGACUAGCCGCCCCUCUAUGAAGGGUGAUGACGCCGAUGAUACGAAGCCGCUGACACAGGCUGCUGGCAGGGUGGAAGGGGAGGGGGGGGAAGGGUGUUCCGAUGACUAAUGAUUGCGUCUCAAUUCCAGUGCAAUUUGUUGCCGUGCUGUCAUAUUGAAGAAACUGAUUGAAUUACAUCACUCCUUGAGCUGUAAAUCAUUUAGCAAGUUACUGUGCAGGACUUAUAAAGCUGAUGAGAAUAUUAAGGAGCUGACUACCUCUGACAUAUGACUGGAAAUGAGAAAAUAAAGCCAAACAAGAAAAAAGCACUUCAAAAUAACAAA